AGAGUUUGAUCCUGGCUCAGGAUGAACGCUAGCUACAGGCUUAACACAUGCAAGUCGAGGGGCAUCAGGAAGAAAGCUUGCUUUCUUUGCUGGCGACCGGCGCACGGGUGAGUAACACGUAUCCAACCUGCCCUUUACUCGGGGAUAGCCUUUCGAAAGAAAGAUUAAUACCCGAUAGCAUAAUGAUUCCGCAUGGUUUCAUUAUUAAAGGAUUCCGGUAAAGGAUGGGGAUGCGUUCCAUUAGGUUGUUGGUGAGGUAACGGCUCACCAAGCCUUCGAUGGAUAGGGGUUCUGAGAGGAAGGUCCCCCACAUUGGAACUGAGACACGGUCCAAACUCCUACGGGAGGCAGCAGUGAGGAAUAUUGGUCAAUGGGCGCUAGCCUGAACCAGCCAAGUAGCGUGAAGGAUGAAGGCUCUAUGGGUCGUAAACUUCUUUUAUAUAAGAAUAAAGUGCAGUAUGUAUACUGUUUUGUAUGUAUUAUAUGAAUAAGGAUCGGCUAACUCCGUGCCAGCAGCCGCGGUAAUACGGAGGAUCCGAGCGUUAUCCGGAUUUAUUGGGUUUAAAGGGAGCGUAGGUGGACUGGUAAGUCAGUUGUGAAAGUUUGCGGCUCAACCGUAAAAUUGCAGUUGAUACUGUCAGUCUUGAGUACAGUAGAGGUGGGCGGAAUUCGUGGUGUAGCGGUGAAAUGCUUAGAUAUCACGAAGAACUCCGAUUGCGAAGGCAGCUCACUGGACUGCAACUGACACUGAUGCUCGAAAGUGUGGGUAUCAAACAGGAUUAGAUACCCUGGUAGUCCACACAGUAAACGAUGAAUACUCGCUGUUUGCGAUAUACAGUAAGCGGCCAAGCGAAAGCAUUAAGUAUUCCACCUGGGGAGUACGCCGGCAACGGUGAAACUCAAAGGAAUUGACGGGGGCCCGCACAAGCGGAGGAACAUGUGGUUUAAUUCGAUGAUACGCGAGGAACCUUACCCGGGCUUAAAUUGCAGUGGAAUGAUGUGGAAACAUGUCAGUGAGCAAUCACCGCUGUGAAGGUGCUGCAUGGUUGUCGUCAGCUCGUGCCGUGAGGUGUCGGCUUAAGUGCCAUAACGAGCGCAACCCUUAUCUUUAGUUACUAACAGGUCAUGCUGAGGACUCUAGAGAGACUGCCGUCGUAAGAUGUGAGGAAGGUGGGGAUGACGUCAAAUCAGCACGGCCCUUACGUCCGGGGCUACACACGUGUUACAAUGGGGGGUACAGAAGGC
rnacentral:rRNA from 1 species